AGAGAGUCAGCUGGAAGGGAGAUUGUGCUUGGCUGGAGGAACGCGUGGCCAGCAUAUGAGCAGGAAACUGAUUGGAUGAUGACCCUUUUUAACCACAUUCUGCUGCCAGAGGCUCCCUGAAAAACUGGCUAGUUUACUAUAUGAAAGCUUUCUGAGACCUUUCAGCCUCAGGUCACUCAGCAUUCUAAAUUCAGGAGUGUUUACAGACUAACUGACCCCAAGAAGGUUCCUUUGUGAAGGUAUACUUGCUCUUACAAGAUAAGAAAUUAAGAAAAAAUAUAAUGGAUUUCAUAUUCAACAAAUUACUGGAGAGUAACAG